AAGGUUAAGUGAAUAAGGGCGCACGGUGGAUGCCUUGGCACUAGGAGCCGAUGAAGGACGGGACUAACACCGAUAUGCUUUGGGGAGCUGUACGUAAGCUAUGAUCCAGAGAUUUCCGAAUGGGGAAACCCAACAUCUUUUAUAGGAUGUUACGUUUGCGUGAAUACAUAGCGCAUUCGAGGUAGACGCAGAGAACUGAAACAUCUAAGUACCUGCAGGAAGAGAAAGAAAAUUCGAUUCCCUGAGUAGCGGCGAGCGAAACGGGAAAAGCCCAAACCAAUGAGCUUGCUCAUUGGGGUUGUAGGACUCCAAUAUGGUAGUUCUUUCAGAUAAUCGAAUGACUUGGAAAAGUCAGUCAAAGAGGGUAAAAACCCCGUAGAUGAAAUUUGGAAGGCACCUAGGAGGAUCCUGAGUACGGCGGAACACGAGGAAUUCCGUCGGAAUCCGGGAGGACCAUCUCCCAAGGCUAAAUACUCCCUAGUGACCGAUAGUGAACCAGUACCGUGAGGGAAAGGUGAAAAGCACCCCGGAAGGGGAGUGAAAUAGAACCUGAAACCGUGUGCCUACAACAAGUCAAAGCCCGUUAAUGGGUGAUGGCGUGCCUUUUGUAGAAUGAACCGGCGAGUUACGAUUGCAUGCGAGGUUAAGUCGAAGAGACGGAGCCGYAGCGAAAGCGAGUCUGAAUAGGGCGUUUGAGUAUGUAGUCGUAGACCCGAAACCAUGUGAUCUACCCAUGUCCAGGUUGAAGGUGCGGUAAAACGCACUGGAGGACCGAACCCACGUACGUUGAAAAGUGCGGGGAUGAGGUGUGGGUAGCGGAGAAAUUCCAAACGAACUUGGAGAUAGCUGGUUCUCUCCGAAAUAGCUUUAGGGCUAGCCUCGGAUUUGAGAAUGAUGGAGGUAGAGCACUGUUUGGACUAGGGGCCCAUCUCGGGUUACCGAAUUCAGAUAAACUCCGAAUGCCAUUCAUUCAUAUCCGGGAGUCAGACUGUGAGUGAUAAGAUCCAUAGUCGAAAGGGAAACAGCCCAGACCACCAGCUAAGGUCCCAAAAUAUAUGUUAAGUGGAAAAGGAUGUGGGGUUGCACAGACAACUAGGAUGUUGGCUCAGAAGCAGCCACCAUUUAAAGAGUGCGUAAUAGCUCACUAGUCGAGUGACCCUGCGCCGAAAAUGUACCGGGGCUAAACAUAUUACCGAAGCUGUGGAGUACACCAUKAGGUGUAUUGGUAGGAGAGCGUUCUAAGGGCGUUGAAGGCAGAUCGUGAGGACUGCUGGAGCGCUUAGAAGUGAGAAUGCCGGUAUGAGUAGCGAAAGACAGGUGAGAAUCCUGUCCACCGAAUGACUAAGGUUUCCUGGGGAAGGCUCGUCCGCCCAGGGUUAGUCGGGACCUAAGCCGAGGCCGACAGGCGUAGGCGAUGGACAACAGGUUGAUAUUCCUGUACUCGUUGUUUUUGUUUGAGCAAUGGAGGGACGCAGGAGGCUAAGGAAUGCAGACGAUUGGAAAUGUCUGUCCAAGCAGUAAGUCUUGAUAGGAGUCAAAUGCUUCUGUCUACACGGAUAAGCUGUGAUGGGGAGGGAAAUAAUAGUACCGAAGUUCCUGAUGUCACACUGCCAAGAAAAGCUUCUAGUGAGAAAACAAUGACCCGUACCGCAAACCGACACAGGUAGUCGAGGAGAGAAUCCUAAGGUGAGCGAGAGAACUCUCGUUAAGGAACUCGGCAAAAUGACCCCGUAACUUCGGGAGAAGGGGUGCUGAUCUUUGAUCAGCCGCAGUGAAUAGGCCCAAGCGACUGUUUAUCAAAAACACAGGUCUCUGCAAAAUCGUAAGAUGAAGUAUAGGGGCUGACGCCUGCCCGGUGCUGGAAGGUUAAGAGGAGUGCUUAGCGUAAGCGAAGGUACGAAUUGAAGCCCCAGUAAACGGCGGCCGUAACUAUAACGGUCCUAAGGUAGCGAAAUUCCUUGUCGGGUAAGUUCCGACCCGCACGAAAGGCGUAACGAUUUGGGCACUGUCUCAACGAGAGACUCGGUGAAAUUUUAGUACCUGUGAAGAUGCAGGUUACCCGCGACAGGACGGAAAGACCCCAUGGAGCUUUACUGUAGUUUGAUAUUGAGUGUCUGUACCGCAUGUACAGGAUAGGUAGGAGCCGUAGAAAUCGGAACGCUAGUUUCGAUGGAGGCGCUGGUGGGAUACUACCCCUGCGUUAUGGCCACUCUAACCCGCACCACUGAUCGUGGUGGGAGACAGUGUCAGAUGGGCAGUUUGACUGGGGCGGUCGCCUCCUAAAAGGUAACGGAGGCGCCCAAAGGUUCCCUCAGAAUGGUUGGAAAUCAUUCGAAGAGUGUAAAGGCAGAAGGGAGCUUGACUGCGAGACCAACAAGUCGAGCAGGGACGAAAGUCGGGCUUAGUGAUCCGGUGGUUCCGCAUGGAAGGGCCAUCGCUCAACGGAUAAAAGCUACCCUGGGGAUAACAGGCUUAUCUCCCCCAAGAGUCCACAUCGACGGGGAG
rnacentral:rRNA from 1 species